rnacentral:sRNA from 1 species
ACAUAGCAAACAAGUGCGUUAGGGAUUGUAGCGGCAUCCUUUUUAAAAUUUGAUAGUUAUUUAACAAAGUGAGAAACUGAUAUUUGGCAGAUGGCUUCGUCCUUCGUCCUCGCCAUGACGUUUUAAAAAGAUAUAGCGAAAAGCCCGACCCUAU